rnacentral:rRNA from 1 species
GGCCAGACUCCUACGGGAGGCAGCAGUGGGGAAUAUUGCACAAUGGGGGAAACCCUGAUGCAGCGACGCCGCGUGAAGGAUGAAGUAUUUCGGUAUGUAAACUUCUAUCAGCAGGGAAGAAAAUGACGGUACCUGACUAAGAAGCCCCGGCUAACUACGUGCCAGCAGCCGCGGUAAUACGUAGGGGGCAAGCGUUAUCCGGAAUUACUGGGUGUAAAGGGAGCGUAGACGGUUAAGCAAGUCUGGAGUGAAAGGCGGGGGCCCAACCCCCGGACUGCUCUGGAAACUGUGUAACUAGAGUGCAGGAGAGGUAAGCGGAAUUCCUAGUGUAGCGGUGAAAUGCGUAGAUAUUAGGAGGAACGCCAGUGGCGAAGGCGGCUUACUGGACUGUAACUGACGUUGAGGCUCGAAAGCGUGGGGAGCAAACAGGAUUAGAUACCCUUGUAC